GAAAAAGAAGGAAGAUAUGAGCAAUAUACUACAGGUAUAAGCACAAGUUAUUGUGGAUUGUAUGGUGCUGCAAUUAGACACAUGCACAUCUCUACAUUCCCUUCCUUUGUUUAUGCCACAAAGCUAUAGAUUGUCGGAUUUUUCUAAUUUGUAACGUCAGCCAAGCGAGAGCCAUAAACAAUCUGAUUUAUUCCAUGCAAACAUUGUGCACUAAAUAAUACUGAAAUACCACAGUACAGAUUCUUGCAUUAUUCACCGAUCUUAAACACAUGCACAAGCACUUCAGAUUUUACAUAAUUAUUUCAUAAUACAUAAUUCACACCACAGAAUUUGAAACUGGGUUGAAUAUCUCGUGCAAAUUCAGAUCCAUCAAACCAAAAAAAAGUUUUCUCACUAGUUCACUAGGGUACCUGUUAACACAAGGCUGAACCCAGUUAUUAAUCAGUACAUUUAAUAAGUCCUCCUUUCCAAUCUGACAGGAAAAAAACAGAGCUGGGGAGAGAAACAGUCCUUUGUGUUCAGUAAACAAAUCUAGCUCAGCAAGUCUUGGUUAUUUCCUGUAAAACCAGAUAAAUUGUGAUUUCUAGUUUAAUUCAGUUCAUCAGAAACACGAAAAAGCAGAGUUACCUUUGCCCAGGUAGCGUGACUUGUCAUUGUCUCUCAGCUCCAAUGCUUCAUAGAUUCCAGUAGACGCUCCACUAGGGACAGCAGCACGAAACAGACCUGUUUCAAAAUCACUAGGUACAGGUUUCUCAGGGGGCCUCCUGACAGCCAGCUGAUCCCCGUGUUCCUCCAUCCUCAUGCCUCACAAAUAAGACCUCAGGGAUCUCAUUAGCAAUCCACACACAGCUCUAAUCUAAUGAUGAGCGCUAGAAAGGAGAGUAACACUGAAUACAGAGGAGAGGAAGCUUAUUCUUGUCUGUUGCCCUGCAGUCUGACCCAGAACAAGAGAGACGGAGGAUGGGGCGUGGUCUUUUUGAAGGUUAAAAGCUUGUCUCAUUUGUGUACUCAGAAACCCUGAGGCACUUCCACAUUAAACUAACCAAUCACAGAACACAAGACACACCUGCUCUUAGAAGAAGGCCAGGGAUUGGUCCCAGCGUAAAAAUGACACCUGGGCAGGGCUCCAAGGUGUACCUGAAAACCUAGAUGUUUUGUAGGAACAGUUUCUUCGCUUCAGGAGCUUUAGGAGAAUGUGUUUCUUCUCAUGCUUGAGACUCCAUUACUAUUGUCUAUGCGACUUCAUCAGGUAUCUUUAGACCGGUUCGAGAGGUUUGGCCUAACGUGGAACGAGCAAUCAUACCUUUAACAAGUGGAAGGAGCAGGAAGUGAUCUUCCUCAGCUAAAGCGACACUGCGACACAAUGGCAUCUCUUGUUCGGGACUCCAUACUGAAUGACGGCAACAGGAAUUCAUAGGGUAACUAAUAGUUGUUUUAUUUUAAUCUUUUUUUUUUUUUUUUUUGAAUAUGUUCAACAAUUUGAUUAAAUAAUUACAACAACAAAAAAAUCAAUUGCAAAAAAAAAAAGUUUUUAUAUGUAUCUCAGGUCAUAUAUAAUAUUAUAGUUUACUAUUAGUAAAUGCUAAUAGUAAACUAUUAAAAAGCACAAUGAGAUGGAAAAAAGAGAAAUUAUUUUUUAGAUAAACAAAAUCUUCCUUUCAUUCUUUCAUGUAAAAAUCAAGUAUGAAUUUUAGUCUGAAAUAUGGAUAAUUAAGAUUUGUGAAACAUAAAGGACUAUGAGUGCCCAGCAUGUUAACUUUCACUUCCGUAGUGUGUCAAACCUGUUUGAUCAGUUUAAAACAAAGGGGGUAUGAAGUAGAAAAUGUAAAGCAUUAAAAUAAAUUAUGUUCAGCAAUGCAACAAAAGUUUUUAAUGUUAUAAUAUAAGGUGGUUUGUACAAAUUAAACAUAAAUUAGACUUGUUGCAUUUGAGAAACUAUUUAUAAACUUUAAAAAUUGGUUGAUACAUGGACACACGCUCAUGAAAUCUGAGUGCUGAUACAAUCUCAUACACACAAUUUUUCGUCUCUUCACUUGAAAGUGUUCUAAUAAAAAGUUAUAAGGAAGAGAAAAUGUAACCUUAAUUGAUCUUGUGAUCUUGAUUGAUACUGUGAGCUUUAAGCAACUAUAGAGCCAAAAUGUAAAAACUUACUUAGCUUGGUUUCAGUAGUAAGUGAGUUAUCUAAUCUAAUCUUAUCUAAUCUAUUGUACAGGUGAGGGGUCAGUCAGGUGCACACUCAGGUAUAGGUGACAAAGAUCAGCCAUUUUGAUUAGCAUGACUAAGCGCUUUCCUUACCACCUAUGUUGUGUGGCUGUUAUGGGAUUUGGUGGCUGUAGACACAAUUUUGUUUUGAUGAAGGUGCGACCAAUUAGUCAAACUCUCCCAGGUCAUGGAGACGUCUCAGAGGUCAUGGUUUCCA